AAACUACAUUGGUUUUACGACACGACUUGAAUCACAAACUAAUUUUAUCUGAAAUAUCUCUUUCAUAGAACGGAGAAAGACACGAUGCAGGAAGCGACGAAGGUGAUAAUAAUCGGUGCCGGAACUUCUGGUAUCGCCACCGCCGGUUGCUUAACGAAGCAAUCAAUACCUUACAUAAUGCUCGAGAGAGAAGACUGUUUCGCUUCGCUGUGGCAGAAAUACACCUACGAUCGUCUCCACCUUCAUUUGAGGAAGCAAGUUUGCGAGUUACCGCACUUACCGUUUCCCAAGUCUUACCCUCACUACGUGCCUCGGAAGCAGUUCAUAGACUACUUGGGAAACUACGUUAACCACUUUGAGAUCAAGCCUCUGUACCAGCGUGCAGUGGAGUUGGUGGAGUAUGAUGGAUGGAAAGGGAUUUGGAGAGUGAAGGCUCAGAAUAGAAGAUCUGGUGAGCUUGAGGAAUACGCUGGAAAGUACCUGGUCGUGGCCAGUGGCGAAACCGCCGAGCCUCGUCUGCCUCAGAUUCAAGGCUUGGAGAGUUUCAAUGGAAAAGUGAUUCACUCAACUGCCUACAAAAACGGGAACGAGUUUAAGAAUAAACAUGUUCUGGUUGUCGGAUCUGGCAAUUCCGGCAUGGAGAUUGCGCUAGACUUGUCCAAUUUUGGUGCCAAACCUUCCAUCAUUGUUCGCAGCCCGGUUCAUUUUCUUUCGAGGGAUAUGAUGUAUUAUGCGUCGCUUAUGCUGAAUUACUUGUCGCUGAGUACGGUGGAGAAGGUGUUGGUGAUGGUUAGCAAGGUUGUGUAUGGAGAUCUGAGUGAGUAUGGGAUACCGUAUCCGAGUGAGGGGCCUUUCACCAUGAAGAUGAAGUAUGCCAAGUUCCCAAUCAUCGAUGUAGGAACUGUCAAGAAAAUUAAAUCUCGAGAGAUACAGGUGUUGCCAGCUGAAAUAAAGAGUAUAAGAGGUAAUGAAGUUUUGUUCCAGGAUGGCAAAUCGUACACAUUCGACUCAAUUGUUUUCUGUACAGGCUUCAAGAGAUCAACUCAAAAGUGGCUUAAGGGGGGUGAUGAUCUUCUAAAUGAGGAUGGCUUUCCAAAAAACAGUUUCCCAAAUCAUUGGAAAGGUCGAAAUGGUUUGUAUUGUGUUGGGCUGUCAAGAAGGGGUUUCUUUGGAGCUAACAUGGAUGCCCAAUUAGUAGCAAAUGAUAUUGCCUCGUUAAUUCCUCAAGAAGAAAGAGAAGGAAUUUGUGUCAUGUAAUGAUCUAUUAUCUAUUAUUGGUUGCAGAAACAGUAUGUACAUGACACUUUCUUCUUUUGGGGAUAUGAAUUAGAAAAGCAUUGAAGGAGAAAGAAGAAUGCAGCAGGAGGGAAUUAAGCAGAGAGUGAUAAUCGUGGGAGCAGGCCCAUUAGGCCUCUCCGCCACAGCAUGCUUACCUGUGGAAGAAAUAUUCCUACACCGCCUCCACCUCCACCUCAGGAAACAGUACUGCCAACUUCGGAAGAACGGUGGAGCUGGCGGAGGAGUACCGUGGGAGGUUUCUGGUGGUGGCCACUGGGGAAACGAACGAAUGACCCUUUUGUGCCGGAGCUGGAAGGGCUGAGUGGCAUGGAAAUCGCCUUCCACCUUGUCAACCAUGGUGUCAAAUGUUGAGAUUUAAUUUUAAAUAUAGGAAUUCAAUCAAUCAGAUAAACAAUCAUCAAUCCUAAUCACACAUGUCCUAUUCAUGUAGAGAGAAAGUAGCUUGCUUUGUAUAAAUGAAACCAUAAUCACUUAUAUUGUUAUUGGUAACUCAGCAACACAUUUAAUCAUUAUAAUUUAAUCCCUCAUCAAAUUAUAAUAUAAUUAGUAUUUAUAUAAUUAUAUUUUAUAAUGUA